rnacentral:SRP_RNA from 2 species
UUCCGGGGCCUAUGCAAGGAAUGUUUUUCGAACCCGCCAGGUCCGGAAGGAAGCAACGGUAGAUUAAUUAUUUCUGUGCCGUAGUGUCCCCGGUUUUU